GACGAACGCUGGCGGCGUGCUUAACACAUGCAAGUCGAACGAUGAAGAAGAGAAACGCAAACUUCGGUUCAAAUUUCACUUCGGAUUAGUGGCAGACGGGUGAGUAACGCGUGAGCAACCUACCUCUUACAAAGGGAUAGCCUCGGGAAACCGUGAUUAAUACCAUAUGACACAUUCAUAAGGCAUCUUAAGAAUGUUAAAGCUACGGCGGUAAGGGAUGGGCUCGCGUCCCAUUAGCUAGUUGGUGAGGUAACGGCCCACCAAGGCGACGAUGGGUAACCGGUCUGAGAGGGUGGACGGUCACAUUGGAACUGAGACACGGUCCAAACUCCUGCGGGAGGCAGCAGUGGGGAAUAUUGCACAAUGGAGGGAAUUCUGAUGCAGCGACGCCGCGUGAGCGAUGAAGGAAUUCGUGUCGUAAAGCUCUGUUAUAUGGGAAGAAAAUGACUGUACCAUAGGAGAAAGCCCCGGCUAAAUACGUG
rnacentral:rRNA from 1 species